AAUUUUGGACAAUGGGCGAAAGCCUGAUCCAGCAAUGCCGCGUGUGUGAAGAAGGCCUUCGGGUUGUAAAGCACUUUUGUCCGGAAAGAAAACCUCCGCCCUAAUAUGGUGGGGGGAUGACGGUACCGGAAGAAUAAGCACCGGCUAACUACGUGCCAGCAGCCGCGGUAAUACGUAGGGUGCAAGCGUUAAUCGGAAUUACUGGGCGUAAAGCGUGCGCAGGCGGUCCGCUAAGACAGAUGUGAAAUCCCCGGGCUUAACCUGGGAACUGCAUUUGUGACUGGCGGGCUAGAGUAUGGCAGAGGGGGGUAGAAUUCCACGUGUAGCAGUGAAAUGCGUAGAGAUGUGGAGGAAUACCGAUGGCGAAGGCAGCCCCCUGGGCCAAUACUGACGCUCAUGCACGAAAGCGUGGGGAGCAAACAGGAUUAGAUACCCUGGUAGUCCACGCCCUAAACGAUGUCAACUAGUUGUUGGGGAUUCAUUUCCUUAGUAACGUAGCUAACGCGUGAAGUUGACCGCCUGGGGAGUACGGUCGCAAGAUUAAAACUCAAAGGAAUUGACGGGGACCCGCACAAGCGGUGGAUGAUGUGGAUUAAUUCGAUGCAACGCGAAAAACCUUACCUACCCUUGACAUGUAUG
rnacentral:rRNA from 1 species